rnacentral:rRNA from 1 species
CACUCCUGCGGGAGGCAGCAGUGGGGAAUUUUGGACAAUGGGCGAAAGCCUGAUCCAGCAAUGCCGCGUGAGUGAAGAAGGCCUUCGGGUUGUAAAGCUCUUUUGUCAGGGAAGAAACGGUGAAAGCUAAUAUCUUUUGCUAAUGACGGUACCUGAAGAAUAAGCACCGGCUAACUACGUGCCAGCAGCCGCGGUAAUACGUAGGGUGCAAGCGUUAAUCGGAAUUACUGGGCGUAAAGCGUGCGCAGGCGGUUUUGUAAGUCUGAUGUGAAAUCCCCGGGCUCAACCUGGGAAUUGCAUUGGAGACUGCAAGGCUAGAAUCUGGCAGAGGGGGGUAGAAUUCCACGUGUAGCAGUGAAAUGCGUAGAUAUGUGGAGGAACACCGAUGGCGAAGGCAGCCCCCUGGGUCAAGAUUGACGCUCAUGCACGAAAGCGUGGGGAGCAAACAGGAUUAGAUACCCCUGUAGUCCCA